rnacentral:rRNA from 1 species
GACGAACGCUGGCGGCGUGCUUAACACAUGCAAGUCGAACGAAGUGGCGAACGGGUGAGUAACGCGUAAUCAACCUGCCCUUCAGAGGGGGACAACAGUUGGAAACGACUGCUCAUACCGCAUACUGAAGGAGGGGAUUGCGUCUGAUUAGCUAGUUGGGGGGGUAACGGCCCACCAAGGCGAUGCUCAGUAGCCGGUCUGGGAGGGUGAACGGGCAAAUGGGGAAUGGGACACGGGCCAGACUCCUACGGGAGGCAGCAGUGGGGAAACUUCCGCAAUGGACGAAAGGCUGACGGGGCAACGCCGCGUGAGGGAUGACGGCCUUCGGGUUGUAAAGCUCUGUUAAUCGGGACGCGGUACCGGAAUAGAAAGCCACGGCUAACUACGUGCCAGCAGCCGCGGUAAUUC